rnacentral:rRNA from 1 species
ACGAACGCUGGCGGCGUGCCUAAUACAUGCAAGUCGAGCGGACUGAUUAAGAGCUUGCUCUUAUGACGUUAGCGGCGGACGGGUGAGUAACACGUGGGCAACCUGCCCUGUAGAUCGGGAUAACACCGAGAAAUCGGUGCUAAUACCGGGUAAUAUCUGAGAUCACAUGAUCUUAGGUUAAAAGAUGGCUCCGGCUAUCACUACAGGAUGGGCCCGCGGCGCAUUAGCUAGUUGGUAAGGUAAUGGCUUACCAAGGCGACGAUGCGUAGCCGACCUGAGGGGGUGAUCGGCCACACUGGGACUGAGACACGGCCCAGACUCCUACGGGAGGCAGCAGUAGGGAAUCUUCCGCAAUGGACGAAAGUCUGACGGAGCAACGCCGCGUGAGUGAUGAAGGGUUUCGGCUCGUAAAGCUCUGUUGUUAGGGAAGAAACAGUACCGAACGAACUAGGUCGGUACCUUGACGGUACCUAACCAGAAAGCCACGGCUAACUACGUG